UUGGUUUGCUGCUGCUUGCCCUGCUGCAUGCACUCACUGACUGCAUUACAAGCUCAAAUCUCAUGGCCAGAGAUUGCUUGUUGGUUUUAGGGUUUCGUUUUAGGAGAGGAGCAGUGUGUUGCGGUGCGAGAUCCUUAGUUUGCGACAGUCAGGACAAAUAUGAAGCGAUUGCAGCGAGUGGUGGUGUUGGAGGAGGGGAGGAUGGUGGAAGACUUGUAGCCGGCUGUUGCCGAGGUGUAGUUCGCCAUUGCGGAGGACGCUGUGGUUGUGGCGUUACGUGUGGCUUAGAGGUGAGCUUCCUGGAGCGUGGCGGGACGACGGACGCGAUACGGUGACAAGUCUCGUGUUGUUGCACUUGCAGUAGUGCGAUCAGCGACAACAUAAAUUUUUUAAAUAAUAUUGCAUGGUUUGAAGCAGACUCCUGCUUGUCUGCAAGAACGAAAAUCUGUCCUCUGCAACGAUGGUUUCCGAGACGAUGUCAAACGAUUUAGAGCUUUCCUUUGAGAAUGUGAAGCUUGCAAAAGCAUAUAAACUGAAGCACUUGAGCAAGGUGGAAGCGGUGUCCACUGACCUUAGCGGCUGCACAUUUAUUCUAGUUUGAACUUGUCCGCUCACACUCAUAAAGAUAUUGAAGUUUAUAUUUAGCUUCUCAAGUUCUUGAAUUUUAUUACGCAAUCUGCGGGUCUCUAUCCUGGAAUGUACGAUUGUUUCUUCUUACAAGACUUUCCAAUGUAAAGUUCUUUGAGCAAGGCUUCCGUGUUGAAGUGUACCGUCUUGAAAAAUCUAAACGUCAGUCAUAGUCUGAGAUAUUAAAAACCAGUGUACUGUUGGGGAUGCAGAAGUGCAAGGUCUCUGUAAUAUUAAACCAAUUCCAUUAUCCACUGAUUUAAUUUUUAGAGUGGUUUUGAGAUAGUGGAUCUGAUGAGUUUCGCUGGGUGGUGGGGUUAGGAGUUUGACUGUUUAUCUUAUCCAAGUUCCGUGAGCCUCCUUGGUUCGGGUAACAUGCGUGCCUGCUCAUGAGAGAGAGUUCCUCCACCACAAUCGUCGAAUCUUCCUAAAAAAGUAAAAAAUUCAUCAAAGUAAUUGGUUUAAGCAAUUAAAAAUCAAGUAGCAUAGAUUAGAAAGCUGAAGAAGUUUAUUUUACAGCAUAGAUAUAAGCGUCAGAUCUGAAUUGGCGAUCUCAGCACUUUAAUGCAUGCCAAGAAUUUGUGUGUAUCCAGGAUCUUCAACAGCUGGAUGCUGCUCAAGAAAUCGUUGAAGAUAUGUACGAGUGGCUUGGUAUCUUCAAUUUGAAAUUGCGAUACUUGGAAGAUAUUGAGUCGUUAUGUACAGAAAUAGAAUCAUAAAUCUCUUUUCCUUCAAGUGAUGAAGUAGGUCCACAGGAUGUCUUAUCGUUAUGAGGCAAUUUGAUACUAGUCUGAACUAUUAUUAUUAUUAUUAUUAUUAUUUUUGAUUUUCUCCUUUUUUAUGGCUCAUAUUUGGUGAAAUUUCAUACUGGUUACCUUAAAGUAAAAUUCAACAAUGAAGUUGCAUCUAUGAUGCUUGGUUUGAAUUAUAUGUCCUAUUCUCGACAUAGUCAUUCAUCUGCUACCUUGAUAUGCCCAGUUCAUUUGAGAAGUCAAUACUUGGUUUUUUGACCUUGACAGAUCAAAGCAAGCAACAGCAACUUAAGUUGCAGGUCCAGAACAAUGCGUCUCUGUGGAAGAAUUGAACACGUUGCCCGAGGAGUUGUCCUACCCUCCUGGGAUCUGGGAGUAGUUCAAAAUGUGCAUAGAGGGGGUCAGUUAAAAUGGCCGGAUCAUGCCUAUACAAGAUUCAAAUGUCCUACUUAUGCACGAAUGCUGCAGCACUUGAUGUAAACCAAAGCAGUAUCCGAUGUGUGUCGCUGGCCGCAGAGAUAGAAUCGCUUCGCUGGUCAUGAACCACUCCCGUGAUCAUGUUCCUUUGAUGUCGUGUCGCCUGAACGUAUGUGCAGAAUCUAGAUAAGAGCUCGCUUGGUUCUCUGCGGAAAGCAUAUAUCAAUUCGCUCAACCUUUUGUUACGUCUUGAGGCGCUAGAGUUUUGAAAUGAGCUUUGAGUCGUCACGAAAGUGUCUCGAAGCACAAGAGCAUGGUUGGACAGUUCACAAGGCGGUACCCCUCAAGGUGCUGGAGGUGCAGACACCUCCACAACGUCUGAAGCUUAUGCUAACAUGAUCCAAAUUUUGAUUCUACCUCUGGUCGACGAGGUGAGGGAACCCUGUUUCAAGAUAAUUGUACUUCCUUUUUAUUUUGUACGCAGUUGUCUAACUUUAUCAAGUAUCUCGGUGAUCCUAUUAAAUUUUUAUACCAUUCACCCUA